rnacentral:rRNA from 1 species
ACGAACGCUGGCGGCGCGCCUAACACAUGCAAGUCGAACGGAGCUGAGAGGAGCUUGCUUUUCUUAGCUUAGUGGCGAACGGGUGAGUAACGCGUGAGUAACCUGCCCUGGAGUGGGGGACAACAGUUGGAAACGACUGCUAAUACCGCAUAAGCCCACGGCCCGGCAUCGGGCUGAGGGAAAAGGAUUUAUUCGCUUCAGGAUGGACUCGCGUCCAAUUAGCUAGUUGGUGAGGUAACGGCCCACCAAGGCGACGAUUGGUAGCCGGACUGAGAGGUUGAACGGCCACAUUGGGACUGAGACACGGCCCAGACUCCUACGGGAGGCAGCAGUGGGGGAUAUUGCACAAUGGGGGAAACCCUGAUGCAGCGACGCCGCGUGGAGGAAGAAGGUUUUCGGAUUGUAAACUCCUGUCGUUAGGGACGAUAAUGACGGUACCUAACAAGAAAGCACCGGCUAACUACGUGCCAGCAGCCGCGGUAAAACGUAGGGUGCAAGCGUUGUCCGGAAUUACUGGGUGUAAAGGGAGCGCAGGCGGACCGGCAAGUUGGAAGUGAAAACUAUGGGCUUAACCCAUAAAUUGCUUUCAAAACUGCUGGCCUUGAGUAGUGCAGAGGUAGGUGGAAUUCCCGGUGUAGCGGUGGAAUGCGUAGAUAUCGGGAGGAACACCAGUGGCGAAGGCGACCUACUGGGCACCAACUGACGCUGAGGCUCGAAAGCAUGGGUAGCAAACAGGAUUAGAUACCCUGGUAGUCCAUGCCGUAAACGAUGAUUACUAGGUGUUGGAGGAUUGACCCCUUCAGUGCCGCAGUUAACACAAUAAGUAAUCCACCUGGGGAGUACGACCGCAAGGUUGAAACUCAAAGGAAUUGACGGGGGCCCGCACAAGCAGUGGAGUAUGUGGUUUAAUUCGAAGCAACGCGAAGAACCUUACCAGGUCUUGACAUCCGAUGCAUAGCUUAGAGAUAAGUGAAGUCCUUCGGGACAUCGAGACAGGUGGUGCAUGGUUGUCGUCAGCUCGUGUCGUGAGAUGUUGGGUUAAGUCCCGCAACGAGCGCAACCCUUAUUGCCAGUUACUACGCAAGAGGACUCUGGCGAGACUGCCGUUGACAAAACGGAGGAAGGUGGGGAUGACGUCAAAUCAUCAUGCCCCUUAUGACCUGGGCUACACACGUACUACAAUGGCUAUAACAAAGGGAAGCGAUACCGCGAGGUGGAGCAAAACCCAAAAAAGUAGUCUCAGUUCGGAUUGAAGGCUGAAAUUCGCCUUCAUGAAGCCGGAAUUGCUAGUAAUCGCGGAUCAGCAUGCCGCGGUGAAUACGUUCCCGGGCCUUGUACACACCGCCCGUCACACCAUGAGAGUUGGGAAUACCCGAAGCCUGUGAGCUAACUGUAAAGAGGCAGCAGUCGAAGGUAGAAUCAAUGAUUGGGGUG